rnacentral:tRNA from 1 species
GUGGGAAUAGCUCAGCUGGUAGNNAGCUGGUAGAGCGUUGCCUUGCCAUGGCAAAGGUCGCGGGUUCAAAUCCCGUUUCCCACUCCA